GCGCCCAUGAACAGCACACAGCAUUUAACCUGCGCAUGAGGAAGCAUAUUUUCUCAGCAAGGUGUGCUAAUAAGAAGGAAGAAAGAAGUACCUCAGCCCCACCAUUAAAAGUGGACCCUGUGGUCCUCACGCCUCAGCCAAGCCAGGGAGGAAUACCCCAUUAAAAGUGCUGGAAACGUUCCUAUUCUUGCAAAAUACUUACUUAAUAUUGAUUCACUGCACAACCUUUCAAUGUAGAAGCUCUACGACUGUCAACUGCUCAGAAUCUCUGGGGUAGCACGUCACGCUGUGUGAGUGUGAAGCGCAGCCUCCCAGAGAGGAAUGAACCUUGCUGAGACAGAAUUCUGAGUCCAUUACCCUUCCUGUCAGUCUAGGCCCCAGAACCUCUCAUUGAAUACUUGGUGCAGUCCACAGGAUCCAGAGAUUGAAGAUACCCAGUCACAGAAUUAUCCUUGCUUCCUGACAGCACCCAAUCCAGAGCAAAGCCCUGCUGUCUUGAACUCUCUCCAAAAUACCUGACAGCUGAAAAUUCUGUAAGUCCUCUCCAAUCACCUUUUACGGAGAUGUCCCACAGUUCCCCAUGUGGUAUGUUCUCUC